CGGAGAUAGUGGCGGACGGGUGAGUAACGCGUGAGAAUCUGCCUCUAGGUCGGGGACAACAGUUGGAAACGACUGCUAAUCCCGGAUGAGCCGUAAGGUAAAAGAUUUAUUGCCUAGAGAAGAGCUCGCGUCCGAUUAGUUAGUUGGUGGGGUAAGAGCCUACCAAGACAGCGAUCGGUAACUGGUCUGAGAGGAUGACCAGUCACACUGGGACUGAGACACGGCCCAGACUCCUACGGGAGGCAGCAGUGGGGAAUUUUCCGCAAUGGGCGAAAGCCUGACGGAGCAAUACCGCGUGCGGGAGGAAGGCCCUUGGGUCGUAAACCGCUUUUAUCAGGGAAGAAGCUCUGACGGUACCUGAUGAAAAAGCCUCGGCUAACUCCGUGCCAGCAGCCGCGGUAAUACGGAGGAGGCAAGCGUUAUCCGGAAUUAUUGGGCGUAAAGCGUCCGCAGGUGGAAUUGUAAGUCUGCUGUCAAAGACGGAAGCUCAACUUCCGAUAGGCAGUGGAAACUGCAAAACUAGAGUACAGUAGGGGUAGAGGGAAUUCCCAGUGUAGCGGUGAAAUGCGUAGAGAUUGGGAAGAACACCGGUGGCGAAAGCGCUCUACUGGGCUGUAACUGACACUGAGGGACGAAAGCUAGGGGAGCGAAUGGGAUUAGAUACCCCAGUAGUCCUAGCCGUAAACGAUGGAAACUAGGCGUGGCUUGUAUCGACCCGAGCCGUGCCGAAGCUAACGCGUUAAGUUUCCCGCCUGGGGAGUACGCACGCAAGUGUGAAACUCAAAGGAAUUGACGGGGGCCCGCACAAGCGGUGGAGUAUGUGGUUUAAUUCGAUGCAACGCNAGAACCUUACCNGGNUUGACAUCUGGCGAAUCUUUC
rnacentral:rRNA from 1 species